rnacentral:rRNA from 1 species
UAACCUGCCCAAGAGAUCGGGAUAACACCUGGAAACAGAUGCUAAUACCGGAUAACAACAGAUGAUGCCUAUCAACUGUUUAAAAGAUGGUUCUGCUAUCACUCUUGGAUGGACCUGCGGUGCAUUAGCUAGUUGGUAGGGUAACGGCCUACCAAGGCGAUGAUGCAUAGCCAAGUUGAGAGACUGAUCGGCCACAUUGGGACUGAGACACGGCCCAAACUCCUACGGGAGGCAGCAGGC